CAGCAACUUCCAGAGGUGCAUGCAGGCCCUCUCCCGCAAUAAAAGCCCCGGCCCGGACGGCAUCCCGAACGAGCUACUGAAGUGCAUGCCAGAGGCGUUACAAUCCGCUGUCCAUACCCUCAUGUGCGUCGCGUGGAUUAAGGCCGAACUCCCGGCCGGCUGGUCCACAAGCGACACCAUUCUCCUGUACAAAAAGGCAGACCCGCUCUCCAUCUCUAACUACAGGCCUAUUGCGCUGUGCAACACACUGUACAAGCUGUAUACCAGCUUAGUCACCCGGGCGGCAACUGAAGCGUGCACAGAUCUUCUCAUCCACAGCGAAGCACAAGAGGGCUUUCAGAAGCACAAGGGAACAGAACGCCAAAUCAUGAACUUACUGCAUGUAAUCGAAGACGCAGCCUUAACAAAACGAGACCUAUAUGUCGCAUACAUUGAUUUCUCGAACGCCUUCGGUACCAUUGACCACGACCGUUUGCUUACAAUAAUGCACCACCUGGGCCUACCAACCGACUUUAUUGAAGUCGUACGCAAUCUGUACUCCUCCGCAAACACCACAAUCCGCACAACACACGGCCGCACCAACCCUGUUCACAUACGGCGCGGCACUAUGCAGGGUGACACCCUAUCGCCCCUACUGUUCAUUAUCUUCCUUGAACCGCUGCUGCGGUGGCUCCACUACGGGGGACGAGGCUACCGGUACGGCUGUCUCACCAACAGCGAAAACGACGAACAUAACUGCUCGUCCCUAGGCUACGCGGACGACCUGACUGUAGCUGCCAACUCCCGAGACAACCUUAGGUGCCAAACUGACAAGAUCGCCCGGUACGCUGCCUGGGGCGGCAUGCGCAUCAACCGCGACAAGAGCGCGUGCACUGGCAUACUACACCACUAUGCAAGCGCCAACAGUACGGACAAGAGCAUUAAGGGCCCCGCCUGUGACCGCACCCUCAAACGCCUCCUGGCGGGCCACAUCCAUGUCGGCACAUGCACCAAAGACGGCAAGCGAUCCGCCAUCACCCUCCCUUACAUCCCCCCGCACAAGCCCUACCGAUACCUCGGUGUUGAAAUCACUAUGACACUAGACUGGCGCUCCCAACUGAAAGCGGUCAAAGCCGACCUAACCGACGCCGGCGAGGAGCUGAGCAGGUACCGAAAACUCCCACGCCAAUGCUACAUGCUCAUCAAACAGUGCCUGAAAGCCAAAGUGGCCUACUCCUUACCAACCAUGGCCUACACGCAGCCAGACAUUCGGGCCUUGGACGCCCAAAUCGCAGGCAUCGCUCGAAGAUGCGUCGGUCUACCACGCGAUUGCGCCACCCGCGCCAUCCUACUACCCGCCGAGCUAGGCGGCCUCGGGAUCGGCUCACUCCGGGAAGAAUACGUGCAGAGAGCCUCGAGGCUACUCGUAAUCUCGCUCAACGACACCGGCCGGCUUGGUGUCGUGACACGCCGCCUGCUCCACCUACAGGCCGCGCACGCAGGAAGUGACCUCCCACUGCACGACAUGAAAAGGGCGGGUCAAUUUUUUGUCACCCUUAAACAACUCACACUUCUACAGGACCACGACCUACUUGCCAUGCUGCAAGGCAAAGAAUUCACUGCCGCCCUACCAGCCCUUGUCUCUAAACUACGGGCCGCUGAAGCCACCACGCCCGCCUACCUUCGCGCCGACUGGAUCAGCCCCUUGACCAUCGACCUUGGACUGAACCUGGCGGACCUGGUGGACGCAAACACAGGGCGGCACAUUAUUGACACCACGCAGCUUGACCGGCGGUUCCCAAAAGGCAGGGUGAAAGACAAGCACAAGAGGGCCUUAAACCGAUUUACCAUCGCCCUAUGUAAACCGGCAGAAGCACCCCCCAAAUCUAUGGGCCACAAACCCCUCCCCAUGCAAAGCCGCACCCUGCCCGCCGGCGUCUCCAAGGCCGACCUCAAUUCAGCGGGAGACCUACCUAAACCCAUACCCCAACGAACUCUCACCUCCCUCCUGGCCCGCUGGCAAGAGGCACUACCGAGCCCCGCAGCUCCACCAAAGCCUUCCCUAGAAGUCCUGCAGGCAAAACCGAAGCAAACGGCAAAGCAACGUCAUUCUCACUUCAUCAAACACGACACACGCACAAGCAACCCCGAGGUCGUAGCCAAUGACGACGCCCUACCCGGCUCUACGGUUCAUGAUCCCUCCGACCCCACAAAGGACCUAGCUUUCUACAUGAGUGCCGCGAGGGAGUUCGCCCCACUCGCUCAACAAUGCAAAACCCUAGGGACCACGCGAUGGACGGGGACCUGGAGGUCCCCAAUCAGGCAAAUGCCAGCCCGCGCACUAAUCACCGGCCCACACACCCACACAGUCCACGCGCUACUAAAUACCCGGCCAUACCAGCAACCUGCUGCUCCCACGUACCAGCGGCUGUACCUACCCGAUGGCUGCCCCGCCACAGCCCCACCGCCCGCGCCCGCACACUCGCAUAACCGGCGUAAACGCGGCUCCCAACCCACUCGCUGCCCGUACACUCACCAUGCUAUUCAGCCGCGGGCCCCCACACGGGCAGCCGCACCCAGGAGAGACAGCGCAGCCGCGCAGCCAAGCUCCCGCCCUGCGUGGCGCAAAGUCAGAGACAAUGCGCUGAAUGGCCGCCUACCCCAGUCCAUCGCUGGGGUACAGGCAGCACAGCACAUCACCGCCCAUCUAACUAACCGCGACGACAUUAUCGCAGCCGUCGUCAGCGGACCCAUGACCCACAAAACUAACGCCCCGCCGCCCAAGCGAAAACGAAAGCAGGGCCCACCGCCCGAGGAGCCCCCCUGGGCAGAACGCUGUCGCUAUAGGGUUCGGUGGCAACCCACCCUGACCACAAACGGCAUCCUCCGAGCCUACGAGCUACAGAACUACAACGCCACUAGCACAACCAAACCCCCAUGCCGGCUAUGGGGGCAAGGCAUCCGGCGCUUCAUGGUCCAAGUGCACUGGGCUGAAACGGAAGACCCCCUCUCCUCACUCUCCCAAAACCCCGGGUGGGCGGCUGCCCUGGCACGCUACACUCUUGCCCAAGCCGUAGACGCGCCCCCUGACCCUACCCCGCCUCCCGCCCUUGACAAUCACCUCACCAGUAAGCAGCGCCAGGGCAGAUGGCGAGACCCAGCACCCAGCGAAGCCGCACGCAAACGUGCGAUCCUCCGGUGCAGCACCAUCGACGUCAAAUCCUGUAACCCGGACACAGACAUCCACCCGACAGGUCAAUACUGUAUUCAAAUGGGCACACGUGAGCCGGGCAGCGCCACAGGCACGCCGUCCGGCCUCCCCCAAGACCCCGACCCCCCCGCCAGGGUCUACGGCCCGGAUGGACGCUGCAUAGGAACCGUUAGCGCUGCCCGACUUGCCCUACUCCACGCCCGGUACAGGACCCUUAACCCCACUCACCCCCCGGAAAGGUUUGCUGCCGCUCUGGCCUCCCUGAUUAUACGGUACCGCCCCAGCAAACGCCACAAGGAGAGUUCCACCAACCCAGCGCACGAGGUAACCCUCUGCCCCGACCUGAUGUCCACGCUCACGUCCCAUAUCAAGUUCCAGACGGAGGCAUUCGCAUCUCCCCUCAACGCCCACUGCGACAUCCCAGCAUACUACACUACCCACCCGCAAGAUUCAGAGUUCGGGGCCGCCCACGACUGCUACAGCCGCACGCUAGAUGGAAUCUCCUUCGUUCACCCACCCCCACAACCCGAGCACACCAGCCUGGCCAUGGCGUGGGCGGUCGCCAGCGCCGAGGCGGCAACAACGCACACACCGCACCUGUCCGUCGUGGUGGUCCCGUAUGGCGACACAAGCGGCUACACAGCCUGGCUCCAACACCCACUGGUCCACGACCUGGGGCACAUCAAACCGGCGCACGCCUGGGCAGGCCUGGCCUCAGGCCUAGGCCAGCCGCAGGAGCUCCCCGCUCACCGACGUGG
rnacentral:lncRNA from 1 species